rnacentral:rRNA from 3 species
AUGACUCUCGGCAACGGAUAUCUCGGCUCUUACAUCGAUGAAGAACGUAGCAAAAUGCGAUACUUGGUGUGAAUUGCAGAAUCCCGUGAACCAUCGAGUCUUUGAACGCAAGUUGCGCCCGAAUCCCUUGGGUUAAGGGCACGUCUGCCUGGGCGUCACG